GGAUUGUGACUCAGUGGCAGAGUACUUGCUUUGCAAGUAUGAGGCACUGGGUUCAAUCCUCAGCACCA
rnacentral:tRNA from 1 species